UACGAAGGGGGCUAGCGUUGUUCGGAAUCACUGGGCGUAAAGCGCACGUAGGCGGAUCUUUAAGUCAGGGGUGAAAUCCCGAGGCUCAACCUCGGAACUGCCUUUGAUACUGGGGAUCUCGAGUCCGGGAGAGGUGAGUGGAACUGCGAGUGUAGAGGUGAAAUUCGUAGAUAUUCGGAAGAACACCAGUGGCGAAGGCGGCUCACUGGACGACUGUUGACGCUGAGGUGCGAAAGCGUGGGGAGCAAACAGGG
rnacentral:rRNA from 1 species